rnacentral:rRNA from 1 species
GCCAGGAUGUUGGCUUAGAAGCAGCCAUCAUUUAAAGAAAGCGUAAUAGCUCACUGGUCGAGUCGGCCUGCGCGGAAGAUGUAACGGGGCUAAACCAUGCACCGAAGCUGCGGCAGCGACGCUUAUGCGUUGUUGGGUAGGGGAGCGUUCUGUAAGCCUGCGAAGGUGUGCUGUGAGGCAUGCUGGAGGUAUCAGAAGUGCGAAUGCUGACAUAAGUAACGAUAAAGCGGGUGAAAAGCCCGCUCGCCGGAAGACCAAGGGUUCCUGUCCAACGUUAAUCGGGGCAGGGUGAGUCGACCCCUAAGGCGAGGCCGAAAGGCGUAGUCGAUGGGAAACAGGUUAAUAUUCCUGUACUUGGUGUUACUGCGAAGGGGGGACGGAGAAGGCUAUGUUGGCCGGGCGACGGUUGUCCCGGUUUAAGCGUGUAGGCUGGUUUUCCAGGCAAAUCCGGAAAAUCAAGGCUGAGGCGUGAUGACGAGGCACUACGGUGCUGAAGCAACAAAUGCCCUGCUUCCAGGAAAAGCCUCUAAGCAUCAGGUAACAUCAAAUCGUACCCCAAACCGACACAGGUGGUCAGGUAGAGAAUACCAAGGCGCUUGAGAGAACUCGGGUGAAGGAACUAGGCAAAAUGGUGCCGUAACUUCGGGAGAAGGCACGCUGAUAUGUAGGUGAAGUCCCUCGCGGAUGGAGCUGAAAUCAGUCGAAGAUACCAGCUGGCUGCAACUGUUUAUUAAAAACACAGCACUGUGCAAACACGAAAGUGGACGUAUACGGUGUGACGCCUGCCCGGUGCCGGAAGGUUAAUUGAUGGGGUCAGCGCAAGCGAAGCUCUUGAUCGAAGCCCCGGUAAACGGCGGCCGUAACUAUAACGGUCCUAAGGUAGCGAAAUUCCUUGUCGGGUAAGUUCCGACCUGCACGAAUGGCGUAAUGAUGGCCAGGCUGUCUCCACCCGAGACUCAGUGAAAUUGAACUCGCUGUGAAGAUGCAGUGUACCCGCGGCAAGACGGAAAGACCCCGUGAACCUUUACUAUAGCUUGACACUGAACAUUGAGCCUUGAUGUGUAGGAUAGGUGGGAGGCUUUGAAGUGUGGACGCCAGUCUGCAUGGAGCCGACCUUGAAAUACCACCCUUUAAUGUUUGAUGUUCUAACGUUGACCCGUAAUCCGGGUUGCGGACAGUGUCUGGUGGGUAGUUUGACUGGGGCGGUCUCCUCCUAAAGAGUAACGGAGGAGCACGAAGGUUGGCUAAUCCUGGUCGGACAUCAGGAGGUUAGUGCAAUGGCAUAAGCCAGCUUGACUGCGAGCGUGACGGCGCGAGCAGGUGCGAAAGCAGGUCAUAGUGAUCCGGUGGUUCUGAAUGGAAGGGCCAUCGCUCAACGGAUAAAAGGUACUCCGGGGAUAACAGGCUGAUACCGCCCAAGAGUUCAUAUCGACGGCGGUGUUUGGCACCUCGAUGUCGGCUCAUCACAUCCUGGGGCUGAAGUAGGUCCCAAGGGUAUGGCUGUUCGCCAUUUAAAGUGGUACGCGAGCUGGGUUUAGAACGUCGUGAGACAGUUCGGUCCCUAUCUGCCGUGGGCGCUGGAGAACUGAGGGGGGCUGCUCCUAGUACGAGAGGACCGGAGUGGACGCAUCACUGGUGUUCGGGUUGUCAUGCCAAUGGCACUGCCCGGUAGCUAAAUGCGGAAGAGAUAAGUGCUGAAAGCAUCUAAGCACGAAACUUGCCCCGAGAUGAGUUCUCCCUGACUCCUUGAGAGUCCUGAAGGAACGUUGAAGACGACGACGUUGAUAGGCCGGGUGUGUAAGCGCAGCGAUGCGUUGAGCUAACCGGUACUAAUGAACCGUGAGGCUUAACCUUACAACGCCGAAGGUGUUU